GCCCGCUAGCUCAAUGGCAGAGCAACUGACUCUUAAUCAGUAGGUUCUCGGUUCGACCCCGAGGCGGUCACGA
rnacentral:tRNA from 1 species